GUGACUCCGCAAGAAAGGUUCCGGGUGAUUCUUUCUAAGGCAGGAAAGCGGGAAAGGUCGGCCCCUAGUGUCGGAGUGUUGGAGCUCUUAGACGUUUUCAGAGCGUGCGCGGGCUUGGCUCACCCUAUGUGUACUAUAGUUACUGUGUGUAUGACUUAAUUUCGUGAAGAUUAUUUCACGUCUCUAAAAGUAUGUCAUACGCCACAGAAAAGGGUAUAAUAGCAUUUGUUACGCCCUUUCCUACGGUUUUACUGUGUAUACAACGUCGGUUAGGACACAGGAAAAGAAUUGUCAAGAGAGAUGGACUGAGUUCCCCAGUUGUCAGACUUGCUGAAGUACACAGAGCAAUCAGAGAAGACCAGCCAAUGAAACUGGCUUUAUCCAGAAGAGUAAUAAGAAGCUAUUCUACUCUUCCAAAGAAUCUGUGUUUUCAUCAUACCACGGGACAUCAAGAUGCUUUCGCUCCUUUCCUGCAUACCUACCUGCCUCAAGGAUGCUGCAAAAGCCUCAUGAGAACUAUUGAGCCGAGUGCGGAACUGGCUGCAAAUGCUCUUGGCCAACUUGGAGGCGCUGAGGCUCUCGAUGGCUUCCUGGGCCACCUUCCUCUUCCACUCUAGAGUGAUGGUGGGUGGGCUCACCCAUGUGAUGCGCUGGAUGAUCUGCCAAGAUGAGGACAGUAAAAUCACCAAAGGAAGGAGGAGGAACUCCCACGCAGCUCCAACAAUGCCCUUCCUUCACUGGGGUUCUUACUCAUCAGGAGCAGCUCUUAAUGUAGGAGCCUAGGAAAUCCAGCAUCAUCUCUAACUCCAUCUACCUCAAAACCAGGGUUCAGCCAGAGGGAGGCACCAAAGACCAGUAAGCCUAACCUAAAUGCUCACAACUCUCCACAUGUUAUCCUCCGGGCCAGAGGAACUGAUGAGUCUCCUGAAGCAGUAAUAACUCUACACAGAUGCAAGGCCAGGACAGGAACCACACUCUUGGCCCCCGGCAACAAUGCCUGGUUUUUUGUGUGUGCUUGUUUUGUUUGAAGCAGGUCUCUCUACACAGCCCUGGCUAUCCUGAAACUUACUAUGUAGACCAGGCUGGCCUUGAACUCACAGAGAUCUGCCUGCCUCUGCCUCCUCAAUGCUGGGAUUAAAGGCGCAUGCCACCAUAACCAACUCAAUGUCUAGAUUUUUGUUGUUUGUUUACUUGUUUGCUCUUUUGGUACUGGGGAAUCAAACCUAUGACCCUGCAUAUGUUAUGCAAACCAUCUAUCACCAAGCUGUAUUUCCAGGCCCAACAAUACCUACUUUUGAGAAAACAUUUAGGCUGAAUAAAAGAAAGAUGAAGAAA